AGUGAACGCUGGCGGUAGGCCUAACACAUGCAAGUCGAACGGCAGCACAGUAAGAGCUUGCUCUUACGGGUGGCGAGUGGCGGACGGGUGAGGAAUACAUCGGAAUCUACUUUUUCGUGGGGGUUAAGGAAGGGAAAGUUACGCUAAUACCGCAUACGACGUAGGGUGGAAGGCGGUGGAUCUUUGGGGCGGUCGGGAUUGAAUGAGCCGAGGUCGGAUUAGAUGGUUGGCGGGGUAAAGGCCCACCAAGGCGACGAUCCGUAGCUGGUGUGGGAGGAUGAUCAGCCACACUGGAACUGAGACACGGUCCAUACUCCUACGGGAGGCAGCAGUGGGGAAUAUUGGACAAUGGGCGCAAGCCUGAUCCAGCCAUACCGCGUGGGUGACGAAGGCCUUCGGGUUGUAAAGCCCUUUUGUUGGGAAAGAAAAGCAGCAGGUUAAUACCCCGCUGUUCUGACGGUACCCAAAGAAUAAGCACCGGCUAACUUCGUG
rnacentral:rRNA from 1 species